UCUCAUGAUCUGAAUAAGAAAGCAGUGCUUCAGAAGACAAGGGGUGUAUCCUCCCACUCUUUUAGUGUCAUCAGACAAAUCAAGAAAGAGUUUAAGGAACCCGAUAUCUAACUUGAGGCUCAGAAUUUAAGCUACAACACUUAAAAAAAAAUCAUGUUACUUAAGGAUGGUUCGCCUUGCACAGAGACUCCCUCUAUAAAGGAAUACAUGAAGAAAACCAACUUUUCUAAGUAAGACAUGAAAGUUAACAUCUUGUGUAUUUUCAUUAUAGUAUUAUAUAUAUACAUAUAUAAACUAUUUCAAUGAGAAGGACAGAAUCAUCUGUAAUUAUGUAAUUCAUGAUUGUAACAGCACUGAAGUUAACAUGUACACAUAUGUACAGUAGCUAUUUCAACAGUUACAGUGUAGUUACAUGUACUUCCCUGUAACAUAGCAGUUAUAGUGUAAUUUAGUGCCACUUAUUGUAAAGUGUUACCAAAAGGAUAAUGGAGUUCUUUCUUACCUUUACGAUUCCAUUCAAAUUAAAGGUAAGUUUCUUAAAUUAGCACUGUAAAUCUGGUAUUCCAUUUCUUGAUUAAGGAGGUGAUGUAAAACUUCAUGUUCACACUGCAGCUUUCCCCACCGCUUAUCCAGACUCCUCCAAGUGUCCAAUCUCUACACUCCUAGGAACUGGUAAUCUGUGAUGAGCAUACCAAAAAUCCAGCUGCUUCAACUCGAAUUGAAUAAGCUGUCUAAU